rnacentral:rRNA from 12 species
GGCAUGGGUGCUAAGGUCCAUUUCCGAGAGGGAAAGAACCCAGACCUACAGCUAAGGUCCCUAAAUUUGUAUUAAGUUGAACUAAGGAGGUUCAGUUGCUUAGACAGCCAGGAUGUUGGCUUGGAAGCAGCCAUUCAUUUAAAGAGUGCGUAACAGCUCACUGGUCGAGCGACAGAGCAUCGAUAAUAAUCGGGCAUCAAAUACAAUACCGAAGCUUAGGAUCAUUUAUGAUGGUAGGGGAGCAUUCUCUAAACAAUGAAGGUGUGGCGUGAGCCAUGCUGGAGACUAGAGAAGAGCAAAUGUAGGCAUAAGUAACGAUAAGGCAGGCGAGAAACCUGCCCACCGAUAGACUAAGGAUUCCCCGGCAAUGCUAAUCAGCCGGGGGUUAGUCGGGACCUAAGGCGAACCCGAAAGGGGUAGUCGAUGGACAAUGGGUUAAUAUUCCCAUACUACCAUACUCAGUGAUGGGGUGACGGAGUAGUGAAAGCGCCGCGAACUGACGGAAUAGUUCGUUAAAGGGUGUAGGUAUUGGACCGGUAGGUAAAUCCGCCGGACUAGCUGAACCUGAUAGUACCACAAUCCUUCGGGAGCGUGGAUAGUGCGCCUAAUCAGACUUCCAAGAAAAACCUCUAAACUUAUGAAUAUGGUACCUGUACCGUAAACCGACACAGGUAGUCAAGGAGAGAAUCCUGAGGUGCUCGAGUGAUUCAUGGCUAAGGAACUAGGCAAAAUGGCCCUGUAACUUCGGGAGAAGGGGCGCCAGCUUCGGCUGGCCGCAGUGAAAAGGCCCAGGCGACUGUUUAACAAAAACACAUGGCUUUGCUAAAUCGAAAGAUGAUGUAUAAGGCCUGACACCUGCCCGGUGCCGGAAGGUUAAGGGGGGGAGUUAUCCUUUGGGAGAAGCU